rnacentral:rRNA from 1 species
UAGAGUUUGAUCCUGGCUCAGGAUGAACGCUAGCUACAGGCUUAACACAUGCAAGUCGAGGGGUAGCAGGGUAGCAAUACCGCUGACGACCGGCGCACGGGUGAGUAACACGUAUCCAACCUUCCCAUAACUCGGGGAUAGCCUUUCGAAAGAAAGAUUAAUACCCGAUAGUACUUUUAGAGGGCAUCCUCAAGAAGUUAAAGAUUUAUUGGUUACGGAUGGGGAUGCGUUCCAUUAGAUAGUUGGUGAGGUAACGGCUCACCAAGUCUUCGAUGGAUAGGGGUUCUGAGAGGAAGGUCCCCCACAUUGGUACUGAGACACGGACCAAACUCCUACGGGAGGCAGCAGUGAGGAAUAUUGGUCAAUGGGCGAGAGCCUGAACCAGCCAAGUAGCGUGAAGGAUGAAGGUCCUAUGGAUUGUAAACUUCUUUUAUAGUAGAAUAAAGUGAACCACGUGUGGUUUUUUGUAUGUAUACUAUGAAUAAGGAUCGGCUAACUCCGUGCCAGCAGCCGCGGUAAUA